rnacentral:rRNA from 1 species
CCUACGGGAGGCAGCAGUAGGGAAUAUUGCGCAAUGGAGGCAACUCUGACGCAGCAACGCCGCGUGGAGGAUGAAGGUUUUAGGAUUGUAAACUCCUGUGGUGGGAGAUGAUUAUGAUGAUGGUAAACGAAUAGCAAGCCGCUAACUCCGUCCUACCAGCCGCGGUAAUACGGCGGAGGCAAGAGUUAUUAGGAAGCACUGGGCGGAAAGAGUGCGUAGGUGGGGUAGUAGGUCAGAUGUGAAAUCCUGUGGCUUAACUACGGCACUGCAUUUGAAACUAGUAGUCUGGAGUGGAGGAGGGGUAAGUGGAAUUCUUGGUGUAGGGGUAGAAUCCGUAGAGAUUAAGAGGAAUA